rnacentral:tRNA from 1 species
GGCCUUGUAGUCAAAUGGUUAAGACAUAACUCUUUCACUGUUACAUCUGAGGGUUCGACCCCCUUCAAGGUCA